rnacentral:rRNA from 1 species
UACGGGGGGAGCAAGCGUUGUUCGGAUUUACUGGGCGUACAGGGAGCGUAGGCGGUUGGGUAAGCCCUUCGUGAAAUCUCCGGGCCUAACCCGGAAAGUGCGGAGGGGACUGCUCGGCUAGAGGAUGGGAGAGGAGCGCGGAAUUCCCGGUGUAGCGGUGAAAUGCGUAGAGAUCGGGAGGAAGGCCGGUGGCGAAGGCGGCGCUCUGGAACAUUUCUGACGCUGAGGCUCGAAAGCGUGGGGAGCAAACAGG